rnacentral:lncRNA from 1 species
CACAAGAGCCUGUGUAUCCUGAAAGUAAACCCUCUUGCUGAUUGCAUCCGGUGGUCUCGGUCUGGUCAAUGGGCUUGAGGGUCUCCUUCCUGAGAAAAAGUUCUACUUUUCAUUUGGGGUCUCAUCUGGAAUCCGGAGAUCCUCCACCCAGGAGCCACCGACUACCCACCGGGAGGUUAAAGAUCAGGUCUUCCACAAGGGACCACAUGGACACCCUGACCAGGUGCCCUAUAUUGUCACUUGGGAGAGUCUUGCAUUUGCCCCCCCCCCGCCCCCCGUAUCGUCUACCUACAGGCUGGGCUGAGGAGGUGGAAGCAGAGCUGCCUGCCAGACCAGUUGCCGGGCCGCAGCCUGAGGCGGUUUCUUCCCCUGAGGCUGGGAGGCUCCGGGGCCCGCGUGAGGUGGCGACGGACUCCACCUCCCAGGCUUUCCCGUUUACACAAGGGGCCGGUGGCCAGACCCAAUACUGGCCGUUCUCAGCGGCCGACAUUUAUAACUGGAAACAGCAUGACUCCCCCCCCCCCCCCUUUUUCCAAGGAUCUGAUGGCCCUUAACGAUUUAAUAGAAUCUGUUUUAAUGCUAUUUGCCCUGUUCGGCAGAUCCGUAUCUUCUGGACUCUUGUUUUCUUGCCAUCCAAUUUGAGAUGCUUGUUAGUAACUGUUACAGGUCUUCUUUACCACUGAGGAAAGAUAGAAUCCUACUAAAGGCCAGAAAAAAA